rnacentral:rRNA from 1 species
GACGAACGCUGGCGGCGUGCCUAAUACAUGCAAGUUGAGCGAUGAAGAUUGGCGCUUGCACCAAUUUGAAGAGCAGCGAACGGGUGAGUAACGCGUGGGGAAUCUGCCUUUGAGCGGGGGACAACAUUUGGAAACGAAUGCUAAUACCGCAUAACAACUUUAAACAUAAGUUUUAAGUUUGAAAGAUGCAAUUGCAUCACUCAAAGAUGAUCCCGCGUUGUAUUAGCUAGUUGGUGAGGUAAAGGCUCACCAAGGCGAUGAUACAUAGCCGACCUGAGAGGGUGAUCGGCCACAUUGGGACUGAGACACGGCCCAAACUCCUACGGGAGGCAGCAGUAGGGAAUCUUCGGCAAUGGACGAAAGUCUGACCGAGCAACGCCGCGUGAGUGAAGAAGGUUUUCGGAUCGUAAAACUCUGUUGGUAGAGAAGAACGCUGGUGAGAGUGGAAAGCUCAUCAAGUGACGGUAACUACCCAGAAAGGGACGGCUAACUACGUG